UACGUAGGGGGCGAGCGUUGUCCGGAUUUAUUGGGCGUAAAGAGCUCGUAGGCGGCUCAUUGCGUCAACCGUGAAAACCUGCCGCUCAACGGUAGGCUUGCGGUUGAUACGGGUGGGCUGGAGUUCGGUAGGGGAGACUGGAAUUCCUGGUGUAGCGGUGAAAUGCGCAGAUAUCAGGAGGAACACCGGUGGCGAAGGCGGGUCUCUGGGCCGAUACUGACGCUGAGGAGCGAAAGCGUGGGGAGCGAACAGG
rnacentral:rRNA from 1 species